AGUGAUUUGUAUUCUAUUUUAAUUUCAGCACAUGAAAAUAUUUCUACUUCUGACCAUCGAAGAGAAUGGAAAACCAUUUUCCAGAUCAGCCCUCAUACAUCCUCCUGAUGGCCUAACAACUGAAUGACAUGUCGAUGCUGAGUAUGAUCCAUUUCAAUCAUUUGAGGAAGCUCUCCCUGAUAUAGGGGAUUGGAUGUACAAUGACGGACAUACGUUUAAUGAAGGAUUUGAAGAUGGUUUGAGUGAGGAGUGUGCAGAAGAGUCCAAUUUCAAGGACACAACAGACAAACCAAUACAUGACAAUGCAUCAGAAACCAUGGCAGAGUGCCUUCUGAUCAGCAUGGGUUAUGUAAACUGUCCUAAAGUCACAGGUAAGGCCCUAAGCCAUAUGCUCAAAAUGUUCAAGUUGCUUUAUCCCGAUAGUCUGAACACAGACUGCUUAAACAGUGUGCAGAAGUUCCAAAACUUUUUUUUAUCCCACUCUGCAUCAUCGCCUACUAUAUUACAUAAAUCCUCCAAGAAUUGUUUUGGGCCAAUAGAAAGUAAACAAAUAAAAUGCCUGCUUUGUGGGACCAGUGUGUCAGAAGAAAGGUUCUAAUCCUUUUUUUAAAGUAUGUACAGAUUGAUUUCUUGUUUACCACAGCACAUUCAUGUGCCAAAUGGGCCCUCGUUGGUGAAUAUAAACAUGCAGGUUUUUCUUUGCUGCAAGAUAGUGUAACAUAUGAGACAUGCAGUCAUGUUAUUCCCCUAUUGGAAACCUCUGCAGUACAGUAGUAUUCUUGGAUGACAUAUUGGGUAAAGUUGUUUUCCUUGACUUCACAUCUAUGCCUGGCAUAGUGAUUGCAGUUCAUUUCCCCAACACACUUGAAAAGUUUGAAAUAAUGAAGAACUGAACUGGCCUAGGAAGCCACAAAUCAAAUCUUUAAUCAUUGUUAUAAAUGCUCUGAAAAUACACACUGAUGUGAUGUUGCCGUGGAUUCUGUAAAUAUGUACUGUAUAUGGAGUAUCAUUGUUGAUGAUGUUUUUGCAUUGUGUGUAAUAUUUCAGUGGCAAAUAUAUUACAUUUACUUGUUUAACAAAGCCACUGUCUUUUUUAAUGAAUACAUAGGCCUACUAUGCUACUGCAUUUUAAUAUUAGUCCUUAUGAUGGUGGUUGGAGAGCCAAAUAUCUUCUGAAGUGGUACUUUGUUAAAAGAGUUUGAGAACCACUGCUCUAGAAAGUUCACAAAUGUUAAAAGCUCUUACAAAGUGUCUUGUGAUCAUAUCAGUAUUGUUUGGGUUCAGUUUUAAAUCUCACAAUUGUAGUCACUGAGUUACUGUACAUGACGUGUGGAUAAGAAAUCAACAAAUUAAGUCCAACUUUAUUUAAAUAAACCAUUUAGAUUACAGACCAUAUAUCCAUAUUGUCUGAAUUCAUUAUUUUCUCCCAAUGUUGGCAUGAGAUCAACUGGAAUAUGAUUGAGGUAUAACUAAAUUGAGCCCAUUAAAAUGCAUUUUUUUAGAAAACGGGUAUAUCUAACAACUCAAAUAGUGAGCAGUGAGAGACAAAACCAAGUAUAUCUCUCACUGAGACAUCAUUGAGACAUAUUGAAACCAAUACUCAUCAAUUGUCUUUUUGCCGAAAUAGAAAAGAGACAUCUGAGAACUCAAACAGUGAGUAGUGAGAAACAAAACCAGGUGUUUCUCUCACUGAGUCAUAAUUGAGACAUAUUGGAGACCAGCUCAUUCAUCUCUCAUUUUGGUCUUAGUUGAAAUGGGGAAAAGAGAUAACUAUUAGACAACUAUGAGAUCUCUCAUAGUGCUCACUGUGAGCCUUAUUUCUCAGGAGAUACAUUUGAGAAGAAGGAGAAAACUACUUUGGUCUCCAUUAGUGCUCUUUUAUGUCUAGGAGAUAUAUAUAAGACAUACAUGAGAUCUCAUCUUCAAUUUUGCUUUGCUAUGGGAAACAAGUGUUUGAUGAGCAUUCCUCAACUUUUUCGGUCUUUUUUUUAAGCAUGUUGCAGGCAUCAAAUUCCAAAAUGAGCUAACAUUUGCAAAAAAAAAAGUUUCUCAGAUCCAACAUCAAAUAUCUUGUCUUUGCAGUCUAUUCAAUUGAAUAUAAGUUAAAAAGGAUUUACAAAUCAUUGUAUUCUGUUUUUAUUUACCAUUUACACAACGUGCUACUUCACUGGUUUGGGGUUUUGUACAUGUUGACAGUACAUUGCAGUGUUAUUUUGUUACAGCCGUACCCACUGUGUGAAGUACUUUUGCAAGACUCCUAGCAAUAAUAUUACACUUCACCAAAGAGCCUGCUGUAAAAGAAAUGACCAUUGAAUGAAGAUACAUACUCAGGUCACCGUGAUCUGAAAAGGAGAGUGAAGAAUGUUUUUGUAUUCCCCAGAUUCUAAUCAUCUUGGAUGAAUAAACAAGCAAUUCCUAAUUUCACUUGGAAAUGGGUUUACUAUAAAAGUGUAGCACUGUUUCCACACAAAAUACCUUCUGUUUUUGGAAAGAUGCCCAUGUGUGUCUUCCAGGUUGAACAUUCCACCCUUUGUGCCUGCCCGGACUGUGCUGGAAGGCCUCGAGUCAGAGGAUGCGUGUGAAGACAAGAAAGCUGUAAAAAAGGAGAUCCAUAGCAAAAAGGUCAAAUAAGUACAAACAAGUAUUUUACCUCGAUUAUUAACAGUUUAUUUUGCCCAAAAAUGUUAAGGGAGCCAAAAAGGACAAAAUGGAAGAGGAGAAUACAGACCUGCUCAGACUUUGCCACACAGUACCGCUGGAGGUGGUGAACUUAGGGCGAUCCAGGUCCUAUGGCUCCUAAAGAAUCAAAGUCUCCAAAGGCCAAAAAGAGAAAAGAUACAGAUGCAGACCAUGAUUACCCCCGCAAGAAAAAGGUGUCCAGGAAACACAACUCUGACAGCACAGUGAAGAAAAAAGCAGCCAAAAAGCCCACAAAAGCAGCAAAGGAAGAAGAAAAUGGACCUCAAGAAGAAGCCACACCCACAAGAAGAUCAGCAAACACACCUCAGCAAGAACCGAAAUCCACGUCAGGCAGGAGGAAAAAGAACAAUACAGAGCCAGCUGCAGGUCUGAUUCUAAUAAUACUCCCAUUUUCUGAAAAUAUUAAGAGCCUGAUCUUUGAGGAUCCAAUUCCCACACACUUAUCUGUGUGCGCAAACUAUAAAAUUGCAUGUACUGUUGGUGGACGUGUUGUAUGUGAUCUACUUUGUGCAAUUGAUAGCUGCAAAAGUGGCACAGAUCACCCUAUUUUUGUGUACUAGAAGCAUUAUGUGCCCUUGGAAACACUUCUUUCCCUCUACAUUCAUGUUAUUAUGCUCUCCACACUGGAGGGGGGCUUAUAUUAGAUUAUAGCACAUAUCGAUCAUCUAACACCUUUUCUGCAAUAUAGAAUCACAGUAUGUAUACUAUUUGCAGCAGGAAUGAUCAAACUGCAUAUUGCAAGACAUUUUUUUUAGGAGUUAUACUAAAUACAAAAAAAAAAAACGCAACGCUUUUGUUCUUGUUCCCAAUUUAAAUGAACUCAAAGAUCGAAAACUUUGACUAUAAACACAAAAUACCUGUUCCUCUCAAAUAUUGUUCACAAAUCUGUAUACAUUUGUUAGUGAGCAUUUUUUCUUUGCCAAGAUAAUCCAUCCCACCUGACAGGUGUGCCUUGAGCUGUCCAAAAUAAAAGGCCACUGUGAAAUGUGCAGUUUUAUCACACAACACAAUGCUUCAGAUGUCGCAAGUUUUGAGGGAGCGUGCAGUAGGCAUGCUGACUGCAGCAAUGUCCACCAGAGCUGUUGCCCGUCAAUUAAAUGUUUAUUUCUCCGCCAUAAGAAUAGAAUAGAAUAGAAAGUACUUUAUUGAUCCCUGGGGGAAAUUCAGCACCACAGUUCGCUCACAAUAAACAAUGAUAAUAAUAAAUAAUAUAAUAUAUAUGAAUAAUAUAAAUAUAUUCUACAUUUAAGUGCAGUCAAGGAACAUAUGCAUUAUACAGUCUGAUGGCUGUCGGUGUGAAGGACCUCCUGUGUCGUUCCGUGUUGCAUUUUGGGAGUCUGAGCCUUCCACUGAAUGUGCUCAUUCUCUCUGCAAGGUCCGAGUGUAGUGGGUGGGAGGUGUUGUCCAUAAUGGCUAGGAGUUUUGCUAGACUUCUCUCUGACACCACCGCCAGAGAGUCCAGCUCCACUCCCAUCUUGUUACUGGCCUUCUCUACCAACUUGUCCAGUCUGUAUGUGUCCCUCACUCUCAGCCCACUGCCCCAGCAGGCCACGGCGUACAAGAGGGCGCCUCCCACCAGCGACUCGUAGAACAUCUUCAACAUCUUUGUACAGACGUUGAAGGAUCCUAGCCUCCAAAGGAAAUAUAGAUUCGGCUCUGUCCCUUCUUGUAGAGGGCCUCAGCGUGUUUUGACCCAUUCAGCUUGUUGUCCAUGUGUACUCCGAGGUAUUUAUAAUCCUCUACCAUGUCCACAUCCACCCCUUUGAUGGAAACAGGGGUCGCCAGAGUACUCCUCCUCCUUCCCAGGUCCACAACCAGCUCCUUGGUCUCCGUAACAUUGAGCUGGAGGUGGUUCUUUCCACACCAUGUGACAAAGUCCUCCACCAGUGUCCUGUAUUCCUCGUCAUCACCUUCCUCAAUACACCCCACUAUCGCAGAGUCAUCAGAAAACUUCUGAAGGUGGCAGGACUCUGACUGAUAGUGGAAAUGGGUGGUGUAAAUGGUGUAGAGGAAGGGGGAAGAGUACUGUAGCCUCCGGGGCCCCGGUGUUGCUGACCAGCCUGUCAGACACACAGUCCUGCAGUCGCAUAUACUGUGGUCUGUCAGUCAGGUAAUCUACAACCCAGGACACCAGGGGGGCCUCCACCUGCAUCUUCUCCAACUUCACACCCAGUAGCCCAGGCCGUUUAGUAUAAGCCGCCUCCAAAGGUGUUUCAGAGAAUUUGGCAAUACAUCCAACUGGCCUCACAGCCGCAGACCAUAUUGAUUGGCUGAGACCUGCCACCCGGACAGCUGCUACAACAAUUGGUUUGCUUAACCAUAGCAUUUCUGCACAAACUGUAAGAAACUACCAUGAAUUGAUUAACGUGGACCCCGACUUAAACAAGUUGAAAAACAUAUUGGGGUGUUACCAAUUAGUGGUCAAUUGUACGGAAUAUGUACUGAACUGUGCAAUCUACUAAUAAAAGUAUGUAUCAAUCAAUCUGUCUCAAGAAAGCUCAUCUGCAUGCUCGUGGUCCUCAUCGGGGUCUCGACCUAACUGCAGUUUGUCUUCUUAACCAACUUGAGUGGGCAAAUGCUCACACUCAAUGGCGUCUGGCACAAUACAGAGGUUUUGGUAUGUUAUUAUUGACAGCGAAACCACGUGCAUUUUAUUGAUGGCAUUUUCCAUGCGCAGAGAUACCGUCACGAGACCCUGAGCCCCAUUGUUGUACUAAUCACCCGAGGCCAUCACCUUUAUAAAUAACAUUUACUAACUCAUGUUGCAAGGAUCUGGAAGCUAAAAACAUCCCAGUUCUUGCAUGACCAGCAUACUCACCGGACAUGUCACCCAGUAAGUAAUUUUUGAGAGGAAUAUAUAUUUUCUGUAUAGUAAAAGUUUCAGAUCUUUAAGUUCAAUUCAUGAUAAAUGGGAGCAAAAACAAAAGUGUUGCGUUUAUAUAUUUGUUCAAUACCAUAUUUUUCGGAGUAUAAGUCGCACCUGCCGAAAAUGCAUAAUAAAGAAGGAAAAAAAACAUACAA